rnacentral:tRNA from 3 species
GCUCCCUUAGCUCAGCUGGAUAGAGCAACUGCCUUCUAAGCAGUCGGUCGCUGGUUCGAAUCCAGCAGGGGGCG